UGAGUGCAUCUCAUUAUGUACACAGACACCU
rnacentral:piRNA from 1 species